rnacentral:rRNA from 1 species
CCAAUAGCGUAUAUUAAAGUUGUUGCAGUUAAAAAGCUCGUAGUUGAAUUUCGAGAUCAAAUUGUUGGUCGUGCCUUGGUACGCACUGGCAUUAUUGGUUUCUCCCUUCUGACGAACCAUGAUGUCAUUAAUUUGGUGUCUUGGGGAAUCAGGACUGUUACUUUGAAAAAAUUAGAGUGUUUAAAGCAGGCUCACGCUUGAAUACAUUAGCAUGGAAUAAUGAAAUAGGACGUUUGAUUCUAUUUCGUUGGUUUCUAGGAUCGACGUAAUGAUUAAUAGGGAUAGUUGGGGGCAUUAGUAUUCAAUUGUCAGAGGUGAAAUUCUUGGAUUUAUCGAAGACUAACUACUGCGAAAGCAUUUGCCAAGGAUGUUUUCAUUAAUCAAGAACGAAAGUUAGGGGAUCGAAGACGAUCAGGUACCGUCGUAGUCUUAACCAUAAACUAUGCCGACUAGGGAUCGGAUGAUGUUAAUUUUUUAAUGACUCAUUCGGCAGCCUCCG